GGGGCUAUUGCUCAAGUGGUGAGAGCAAUUUACCUGGCAUGUACAAGGCCCUAGGUUCAAUCCCCAGGAUCCCCA
rnacentral:tRNA from 1 species